rnacentral:lncRNA from 1 species
CAAAAUACUAUUGGCCAGGGAUGACAAAAGACAUUGCCAAUUGGGUAUGUAAAGUAAUAAAAUGAAAUCCUGAUGAAUGCUAUUUACAAUUGAAAUAGAAGUUCAAAAUGAAUGAAAGAAAUAUUAUUACCAAAUUAUAUUUGGUGUGCAAAUGUGAACUGUUCCCUUGCGAUACUAUUUCCAUAACGAAAUGUUCAUGUCAUCGUAUUGUUCCAUCAAAAACAGGUUGCACAGUGUCUGACUUGCCAGAAAGAGGGAAAGCAAUCAAAUCUGGAUACCCCCUUGAAAAGCAUAAAGGUCACUCGGAUCUGGGAAUUGGUGGGAAUGGAUUUAAUAGGACCAUUACCAGUAACAAAGGAUGGAUACCAGUAUAUACUUACAGUCAUAGAUUAUCUUUCAAGAUGGGUGGAAGCCUUUCCACUUAGAAGUAAGUCAUCAUUUGAGGUGGUAGAGAACAUGUACAGAAUGAUUCUUUGACGUGGAUGCCCACAGCGGAUACUGACAGAUCGUGG